rnacentral:rRNA from 1 species
GGACUACAAGGGUAUCUAAUCCUGUUUGCUACCCACGCUUUCGCGCAUCAGCGUCAGUACCGGUCCAGGUAGCCGCCUUCGCCACUGGUGUUCCUCCCAAUAUCUACGCAUUUCACCGCUACAUUGGGAAUUCCGCUACCCCCUCCCGGCCUCAAGCCUUACAGUUUCAAAGGCAGUUCCUCAGUUGAGCCGAGGGAUUUCACCUUUGACUUAUAAAGCCGCCUACGCGCCCUUUACGCCCAAUAAUUCCGAAUAACGCUCGCCCCCUCCGUAUUACCGCGGCUGCUGGCAC